GUGGCUAUAGUGUAGCGGCAACACAACUCCCUGUGGAGGAGUUAUCACGGGUUCAAAUCCCGUUAGCCACC
rnacentral:tRNA from 1 species